rnacentral:rRNA from 1 species
UACGUAGGCAGCAAGCGUUGUUCGGAGUUACUGGGCGUAAAGAGUGCGUAGGUGGUGCCCCUAAGUCUGUUGUGAAAUCUCCCGGCUUAACUGGGAGGGUGCGGUGGAAACUGGGGUGCUUGAGUGUGGGAGAGGUAAGCGGAAUUCCUGGUGUAGCGGUGAAAUGCGUAGAGAUGUGGAGGAACACCGAUGGCGAAGGCAGCCCCCUGGGUCAAGAUUGAC